GAUGAACGCUGGCGGCGUGCCUAAUACAUGCAAGUCGAGCGAACAGACGAGGAGCUUGCUCCUCUGACGUUAGCGGCGGACGGGUGAGUAACACGUGGAUAACCUACCUAUAAGACUGGGAUAACUUCGGGAAACCGGCGCUAAUACCGGAUAACAUAUUGAACCGCAUGGUUCAAUAGUGAAAGACGGUUUUGCUGUCACUUAUAGAUGGAUCCGCGCCGCAUUAGCUAGUUGGUAAGGUAACGGCUUACCAAGGCGACGAUGCGUAGCCGACCUGAGAGGGUGAUCGGCCACACUGGAACUGAGACACGGUCCAGACUCCUACGGGAGGCAGCAGUAGGGAAUCUUCCGCAAUGGGCGAAAGCCUGACGGAGCAACGCCGCGUGAGUGAUGAAGGUCUUCGGAUCGUAAAACUCUGUUAUUAGGGAAGAACAAAUGUGUAAGUAACUAUGCACGUCUUGACGGUACCUAAUCAGAAAGCCACGGCUAACUACGUG
rnacentral:rRNA from 1 species